rnacentral:lncRNA from 1 species
GACCAUGAUAAAUCUAAAGGGCAGUUAUUUUUACUAUAAUUCACUUGGAAUAAUUUCAUACUGUUUUGGGGAAGAAUGGAAGAAAGCUAAAGAGAGCAGCUGAUGAGGCCACAUGGAAUAGUAACCUGAUUUGCGGACAUACCAUCUUGGUAGAGUAUUAUGAAGCAGGCAAGCUGAGAGCUAAUAGUGGGAGGAAAUACUCAGUCGAGUGUCCUAGAUGAGAUAUAGCUUGGGAAUGCAUUUCUAAUUGUACCUUUAUGUAUGUAAGGACAUAAUAAAAACAUUUUCCAUUAUAUUCUGUGUUUCAUGGCCUUCUGAUUCAGGUACAGGCAAGAAUGGUUGAUAUGUACAGAAAGUAUAUUGUGCCUUACUAACAUUUUACUCUCUGCCUC